rnacentral:lncRNA from 1 species
CUUUCAGGAUCAGCUGAAAUGCUUUCUUCCUGGGCACCACUAGCCAAGAGGAGGCUGAGGCCCUGCCACGGGGCCGCGCACUGGCGUUUUCCCACGGUCUGCAUGGCAUAACGUGACAGGUGUGCGACAUCCAAGGCCGCCCUCGGCAGCUCUGGGCUCUCUGGGCUCGCCCGGUCCGCCUCACUGUCCGUCACCCGGGCCCUCUGAGGGAACUCAGCCAGGCAGUGGUCAGCCACCAGGAUGCCAAGACCUCUGCACUGUCCCCGCCCAGUGAAGCACCGGCUCGUCCCACUCCCAUUUGCUCUCUGCCCUUGUCUGCUUCCAUCCUCCCAAUAUACCAGCACCGGCCUCAUCUUCAUGAAGGUGAUGAUGAUGAUGAAGAGGGACAGGAGGAGCAGGAGGAGGAGAAGGAGCAGAAGGAGCAGGAGGAGGAGGAGCAGAAGCAGGAGGAGGAGCAGGAGGAGGAGGAGCAGAAGCAGGAGGAGAAGCAGGAGGAGGAGGAGCAGGAGCAGGAGCAGGAGGAGGAGCAGGAGGAGGAGCAAGAGGAGGAGCAGGAGGAGGAGGAGCAGCAGGUAGAGGAGCAGGUGGAGGAGCAGGAGCAGGAGCAGGAGCAGGAGGAGCAGGAGGAAAGCCAGCAUUGGAAACUACAGCACAACCCGCCACCCCUUCCCAUGGCCUUCUGUGAACCGCUCCAGACCAAGCACAGAGCCCGUGGCCGGUCCACGGAUGCUCUGCACCCUCCUGGCCUCUGUCAGCACCAUCUCGGUGCCGCCGCUCAUCCUUUCCUGCCACCCUGCCCUCGCCCUUCAUCCCUGCACAGAGCUCCUGCUUCCCAGCAUCCGUUUUCUCCUAAGCACCAUCCAGCUGGAUGCAAGCCCACUCCUGCAUGUGGCUCCUACACUAGACACCCGCAAUUCUGAAGGGCCCACAUCUCAGCGGUCCUCAUGGGCACGGCGAGGACCACACACCCCACCCAAGCCACGGCAGCAUCUAACUGCAGAAGACAUCAUCAGAGGCCGAGAGAGCCAGUCACCCCGCCAGGAGGCGUUCUGGCCCAGAGGGGACAGCCCCACUGCAGUGGCAGAGGCCCAGGGGGAGGCUCCUCCUGUGGACCCCGGUGCUCUAGGAGGCCUGGGAAUCCAGUUGCCCAUGUGUAGAUCUGCACAGCUGGGACCCGACCUCAAGAUGAUGAUAUCUGGGUCACUGAGUUCUUUUCCACCUCAAAG